CCUACGGGUGGCAGCAGUGAGGAAUAUUGGUCAAUGGGCGCGAGCCUGAACCAGCCAAGUAGCGUGAAGGAUGACUGCCCUACGGGUUGUAAACUUCUUUUAUAAAGGAAUAAAGUGAGGCACGUGUGCCUUUUUGUAUGUACUUUAUGAAUAAGGAUCGGCUAACUCCGUGCCAGCAGCCGCGGUAAUCCGGAGGAUCCGAGCGUUAUCCGGAUUUAUUGGGUUUAAAGGGAGCGUAGAUGGGUUGUUAAGUCAGUUGUGAAAGUUUGCGGCUCAACCGUAAAAUUGCAAUUGAUACUGGCAGCCUUGAGUACAGGUGAGGUAAGUGGAAUUCGUGGUGUAGCGGUGAAAUGCGUAGAUAUCACGAAGAACUCCGGUUGCGAAGGCAGCUUACUAAACUGCCACUGACAUUGAGGCUCGAAAGUGUGGGUAUCAAACAGGAUUAGAUACCCGGGUAGUC
rnacentral:rRNA from 1 species